rnacentral:lncRNA from 1 species
UCAGCGUGUUUCACCACGGCAUAGUUCUGUGGCACUACCACAACCUGCCCCUGUCGCACUCUGUCAUCUAGCACUGCUUGUCCUCUGUGGUCCACAACCUGCAUCCUUGCUUCUCCCUUUGUUAUGUAGAUUAUGCUGUGUGCAUUUGUCACCCAGUGUGGUGCCAUGAUAGAAUUCUGCCCAUUAAAUUCGUAAUUAGUCUACAUACAUAAUUUAAUUGAAAGAAUCUCAAAUUUCAAAUUAGCGAAUUUGUGGUUUACUCUGUAGAGGACUCCUCUGGCAGCGCUGAGGCGGAGGAAGCCGAGGAUGGGGAGAGUGAAGCUGUUGACAGUGGUGAAGCGUCCAGCUUGUGGAUUGUAGACAUCAGCACGAGCAGGGUUGUCGAUGUUCUGCCUUAGUCUAGCGGAGCAGAUGGUUUCUUCAAUUCCGUUCAUGCUAGGACCACCGCAUUGUCCUUGCUCUUGUCUCUCCUCACGCUCCUCUUGUUCUUGUGAGAGUGGUGGCCUCACAACCCUAAGCCCCUGGUCAAUGUUAACUAUGUGGCCUCUUUGGUCCUCUUGUCCCUGAAGCUUCCUUGCUGUCUCCCUGUCUACGCCGAAUGCCUCCGCCAACAACUCUUGUUCAAAGCCGCUGAACACAUUUCCAGAUUGGAAUUGCUCCCUGCGGGCUCCUUCUUGUUGUCCCUGUUGUCGUUCUCCUUGUUGUGGGUUUCCAGCUAUGAAGAAUCUCUGCAAAUAACGCAAAACCAUUUUAGUCAGCACCAAAUAUAACUUCCCAAAACUGGCUCGGACCAAUUGUUGAGACGUUGAAAAAUUUUUAAUUUUUUCCAAGUAAUAUUUGUUCAAACAUAACUUCAAAUUUCAAAAUCUAUGGCCAAACAAAAGUUUAGAAUGAUAUACACUUUAUAUCUAACGUACUCUUGAAGUUUGAUCGAGCUGGUUAGCACUGUUACCGCUAUCCUCGAAACCAACAAGAACGAGCUCCUCAUUUCCUUCGUUAUAAGCCCAGUGAGCAGCUCCAGCAGGGAAGGCAAUAAUGUCACCCUGUCUGAACUGUCCAAUCUUCUGGUGAUGAUCUUGGAACCUUGAUCCUGCACCCCUUUCACCUUGCUGAAAUUGCUGUGACGACUGGAAAGUUUCAGGGCAUCCAGAAUUCAUGAUGCCAAAAAAUCCCCUACCUGAUCAUUAAUCAAUCAAUUACCCCCACAAAACGUUAACAAUUCAUCUAUUAACUAACGGAAAUUAAGUUUAAACAAAGAAACAGAAUGUAUGUACGUAUGUACCUUGUUCAACAUAGGCAAGGAGAGGAGCAUUAAGGUAGGAAGGCAACAGCAUGCCUCUAGGCUGGAUGACAUGUCGAAUGAGGGAGAUACCGGUACAUUGGAACUGCUGGUUAUUUGGGUCCCAUACAUCCGUUAACCCAGCUUCGGCUUGAAUCCGAACAUUGGGUUCCUGAGGGCUAAGUCUAUUGAGCUGACACUGACCUUGUUGCUGUUGGAAUCUUUG